rnacentral:rRNA from 1 species
AUUGAACGCUGGCGGCAGGCCUAACUCAUGCAAGUCGAGCGGAUGAAGGGAGCUUGCUCCUGGAUUCAGCGGCGGACGGGUGAGUAAUGCCUAGGAAUCUGCCUGGUAGUGGGGGAUAACGUCCGGAAACGGGCGCUAAUACCGCAUACGUCCUGAGGGAGAAAGUGGGGGAUCUUCGGACCUCACGCUAUCAGAUGAGCCUAGGUCGGAUUAGCUAGUUGGUGGGGUAAAGGCCUACCAAGGCGACGAUCCGUAACUGGUCUGAGAGGAUGAUCAGUCACACUGGAACUGAGACACGGUCCAGACUCCUACGGGAGGCAGCAGUGGGGAAUAUUGGACAAAGGGCGAAAGCCUGAUCCAGCCAUGCCGCGUGUGUGAAGAAGGUCUUCGGAUUGUAAAGCACUUUAAGUUGGGAGGAAGGGCAGUAAGUUAAUACCUUGCUGUUUUGACGUUACCAACAGAAUAAGCACCGGCUAACUUCGUG